rnacentral:tRNA from 1 species
GCCGGGGUAGCCUAGCCCGGACAAGGCGCCGGCCUUGAGAGCCGGUGGCCCCCUCGGGGCCGCGUGGGUUCAAAUCCCACCCCCGGCGCCA